rnacentral:lncRNA from 1 species
AAGCUCAUAUUCACUACUUUCAAGCAUAUAUACACACACUCAAACACACAAAAAGAAAUUUUGCUUGAUGGAGAACGGUAAAGGAAGGCGUGAAUCUGCAGAAGGAGAUUCCAGUAAUGGAAAAUGGGCCGGUUCCUCUAAGAAAAGUGGAAGCGUGAUUCCGAAAGAUAGGGAGCCUGUAUCCCACAUGGUGGGAAAGACAAUUGCGAAAGCUGUUAUUUCCGGUGCUCAAAAGAUCAAAAACAAGAAUAAGAUCAAUCCUGAUGGUGGUGCAAAUGCUUGAUAGCGUUACAAAGGGUGCAAGGUCACUUUGCCAAAGCUUUCUUAUUUAGAAAACUUGACAAAUUUGAAUUUUGCCAAAUUCGAAUUGGAACUUCCAAUUUUGGCAGAAUUUAAGUGAAUCUAGUUUUCUAGUAUAAUUUAAUUUUGGCGUCAUCUUUGCACUCUAUCCGUUGUUGUUUGAAGUUUCUCUUCCCAUGUAUCAUGUGAUUUUUUUUUUCUCUCUAUUUUCAAUAUGUUGAAAGUCAUUCCAGUGUAUUUUGAGAAUCAAAUUUUUAUUCGAAUGACCAGUAAUUUAGGUACGUAUAGUAUGUCGUAUCUCUAUGAGUCUUGUAUUUAGGCA